AUGAACGCUGGCGGCGUGCCUAAUACCUGCAAGUCGAGCGAACAGACGAGGAGCUUGCUCCUCUGACGUUAGCGGCGGACGGGUGAGUAACACGUGGAUAACCUACCUAUAAGACUGGGAUAACUUCGGGAAACCGGAGCUAAUACCGGAUAAUAUAUUGAACCGCAUGGUUCCAUAGUGAAAGACGGUUUUGCUGUCACUUAUAGAUGGAUCCGCGCCGCAUUAGCUAGUUGGUAAGGUAACGGCUUACCAAGGCAACGAUGCGUAGCCGACCUGAGAGGGUGAUCGGCCACACUGGAACUGAGACACGGUCCAGACUCCUACGGGAGGCAGCAGUAGGGAAUCUUCCGCAAUGGGCGAAAGCCUGACGGAGCAACGCCGCGUGAGUGAUGAAGGUCUUCGGAUCGUAAAACUCUGUUAUUAGGGAAGAGCAAAUGUGUAAGUAACUAUGCACGUCUUGACGGUACCUAAUCAGAAAGCCACGGCUAACUACGUG
rnacentral:rRNA from 1 species